rnacentral:tRNA from 1 species
AGCUCAGUUGGUAAAGCAUCUGCCUGUAAUGCAGGAGACCUGGGUUUGAUUCCUGG